rnacentral:lncRNA from 1 species
AAAUAAAAUAAAAUAAAAUACCAGCUACUUGGAAGGCUGAGGUUGGAGGGUCUUUUGAGUCCAGGAGUUUGAGGAUAGCCUGGGCAACUUAAUGAGACUCCAUCUCUAAAAAUAAUAAUAAGAAGAAUAGCUAUCUUAAAAACAGUGAAUGUCUCCACAAGCCAGAAGAAUUCCCAGUUUCCUUUGAAAUUACCAUUUCCAGCUUGUUAAUUACAAAUUUUCAACUUGUGGCCGCUUGUAAUCCCAGCACUUUGGGAGGCCGAGCUGGGCGGAUCACCUGAGGUUGGGAGUUCAGGACCAGCCUGGCCAACAUGGUAAAACUCCAUCUCUACUAAAAAUGCAAAAAUUAGCCGGGUGUGGUGGCGCAACCCUGUAAUCCCAGCUAUUGGGGAGGCUGAGGCACAAGAAUCGUUUGAACGCAGUUGGUGGAGGUUGCAGUGAUCUGAGAUUGUGCCAUUGCACUCCAGCCUGGGUGACAGAGUGAGACUUUUUCAAAAGAAAAAAAAAUCAACUUUGUCAGAUAUCUUUACAGAUCAGCCAGAGAAGAGGAAAACAUUAUCUUUAUCUUUUUUUUUUUUUUUUUGAGACAGAGUCUCCCUCUGUCACCCAGGCUGGAGUGAUAUGGUGCGAAUCUCGGCUCACUGCAACCUCCGCCUCCCGGGCUUAAGCAGUUCUCCUGCCUCACCUCCCGAGUAGCUGGGACUGUAGGCACACACCACCAUGCUUGGCUAAUUUUUGUAUUUUUAGUAGAGACAGAGUUUGACCAUUUUGGCCAGGCUGGUCUUGCUUGAACUUUUGACCUCAGAUAAUCUGCCCACCUCGGCCUCCUAAAGUGCUGGGAUUACAGGUGUAAGCCACUAUGCCCAGCCCAGUAUGUUUAUAAUACAUUCAAAACCUAAGCUUACUCUUUUUGAGGCGUAGUUUAACCUACUGAUGAUGUCCUUUCUAAGGUCUACCUUCUUAGAAAAUAGUUUUGCCUUGUCUUUCAUUCCUGAAAUGGUGUUUUAUAUAUUUUUCCAUUUUAAGCAAGUUAUGGACAGUUGUUAAUCAAGCAUCAGUUAUGGUGACUGAUCAGUUAAAAUUAAUCACUUCUUUUGGCUAGGCUCGGUGGCUCACUCCUGUAAUCCCAACACUUUGGAGGCCAAGGCGGGUGGAUCAUCUGAGGUCAGGGGUUUGAGACAAGCCUGACCAAUAUGGUAAAACCCUGUCUGUACUAAAACUACAAAAAUUAGCUGGGCAUGGUGGCAUGCGCCUGUAAUCGCUACUACUCUGGAGGCUGAGACGGGAGAAUUGCCUUUGGAGGUGGAGGUUGCAGUGGGCCGAGAUCAUGUCACUGCACUCCAGCCUGGGCUACAGAGUGAGACUCCAUCUCAAAAAAAAAAAAAAUUAAAGCACUUAUUUUGAUCAUGGUACAUAUAAAACACUCAUUUUGUAUUCAAAACAAAUUUCUGAAUCAAUGGGAAGAUAGCCAGUUACAUCUCUAAAGUUUUUUUUGUUACAUAAGCUAUUCAUUAACUUUCAUACCUAACAGGAAGGAAAAAAUUUAGACUGAGAAUCUUUUAUUCACAAAACCAUAGCAGUUUGUAUUUUCUAAGUAAGAUUAUGGUAUAAUAAAAAACAAAUGGUUUUUGAUCUAGGUUCUUAAUACUGGCUCCUAAAACCCUUGGAAUCUUCUGAGUGAUAAGAAUGUCUUUUGUAUGCCAAUGAGUGACUCAAGGUAGGGGUUCCUAGAUAGCCAGCUCUAGGAUACCGGCUGGUUGGCCAGAAAAACCCACCAGGUGAUUGGAGUUAGAACUUUCAGUCCCCUCCCACCUCACCUCCCAGGAAGGGAGAAGGGCUGAGAGAUUAGGCUCAAUCACCAGUGACCAAAGACUUAAUCACCGUUACUAUGUAAUGAAACCUUGAUUUAAAAGAACCCCUAAACCAUGGGGUUUGGGGAGCUUCCGGGUUGGUGCACAGGUAGAGAUGCUGAGAGGGUGAAACAUCGAAGAAGGCAAGGAGCUCUGAGUCACCCCCUACCCCUCAUAACUUAAUAUACCUGUCUUCAAUUUGGCUCCUCCUGAAUUGUAUCCUCUGUAAUCAACCCAUAAACGUAAGUAAAGCGUUUUUCUGAGCUCAUGGGAACCCCUGAAUUUGUAGUCUCCGUGGCAGAAGUGUAGGUAGCUUGAGCACUCUAUUUGCAGCUGGUGUCCGAAGGGGCGGGUCUUGUGGAACUAAUCUCUCUCUUUUUUUUUUUUU